AUUGAACGCUGGCGGCAGGCCUAACACAUUCAAGUCGAACGAGAGGCGGACGGGUGAGUAAUGUCUGGGAAACUGCCUGAUGGAGGGGGAUAACUACUGGACACGGUAGCUAAUACCGCAUCCCAUCAGUUGUGCCCAUAUGGGAUUAGCUUGUUUGUGGGGUAACGGCUCACCAAGGCGACCAUCCCUAGCUGGUCUGAGAGGAUGACCAUGAACACUGGAACUGAGACACGGUCCAGACUCCUACGGGAGGCAGCAGUGGGGAAGAUUGCACAAUGGGCGCAAGCCUGAGGCAGCCAUGCCGCGUGUAUGAAGAAGGCCUUCGGGUUGUAAAGUACGUUCAGCGGGGAGGCGUUACCCGCAGAAGAAGCACCGGCUAACUCCGUGCCAGCAGCCGCGGUAAUAC
rnacentral:rRNA from 1 species